AACGCAAAUGGCGCUUCCUGGUCUUCGGGGAGCAUGCCUGUUUGAGAACCGUAAGAGCAAAUCACCCGAACUUUAUUGUUCGGGUGGAGUUGGAUGUCACAGGCUGUGGGGGCAAGGGAGAGGAUUGCUUCUCUUCCUUUUCCCGGCUCGUGGUCCGCAAAGCUUCUUCCAUCGAUUCAAAUAGAAUGUGGGGCGGUGAGAGACACUUUUUGCGGUCUUUCCUCCAAAGGCUAGGAUAAUAUGGCACUUGCCGUGCACAUAUAUACGACAGCCGACAUUCAGAGGAAAGCCGCAAAGGGAGGGGGGUCUCUCAGUCACUCCCACAGAACCUGGUCUCAAAUCAGGCAAGAGAACCCGCUGAACUUAA
rnacentral:misc_RNA from 1 species